GACGAACGCUGGCGGCGUGCUUAACACAUGCAAGUCGAGCGGUAAGGCCCUUUCGGGGGUACACGAGCGGCGAACGGGUGAGUAACACGUGGGUGACCUGCCUUUAGCUCUGGGAUAAGCCUGGGAAACUGGGUCUAAUACCGGAUAUGACUCCGCGGUGCAUGCUGUGGGGUGGAAAGCCUUGUGCGGCUGGAGAUGGGCCCGCGGCCUAUCAGCUUGUUGGUGGGGUGAUGGCCUACCAAGGCGACGACGGGUAGCCGGCCUGAGAGGGCGACCGGCCACACUGGGACUGAGACACGGCCCAGACUCCUACGGGAGGCAGCAGUGGGGAAUAUUGCGCAAUGGGCGGAAGCCUGACGCAGCGACGCCGCGUGGGGAUGACGGCCUC
rnacentral:rRNA from 1 species